rnacentral:rRNA from 1 species
UACGUAGGGGGCAAGCGUUAUCCGGAUUUACUGGGUGUAAAGGGAGCGUAGACGGAGAGGCAAGUCUGAUGUGAAAGGCGGGGGCUCAACCCCCGGACUGCAUUGGAAACUGUAUUUCUUGAGUGCCGGAGGGGUAAGCGGAAUUCCUAGUGUAGCGGUGAAAUGCGUAGAUAUUAGGAGGAACACCAGUGGCGAAGGCGGCUUACUGGACGGCAACUGACGUUGAGGCUCGAAAGCGUGGGGAGCAAACAGG